ACACUGACAUGGCAGGGGAGAUACCAGGAUCAGAAGAAUUUUCCAAGGGUGAGACUUAUCCAUUGCACUCUAGAUGUGCUGACCCCUGUGAUUUACCCAGAUAUGGGAAAGUCAACCACAUGAUUUGUGACAGUGGGCGACUGUUUGUAACCCUCCCCUA